rnacentral:lncRNA from 10 species
AGGUUCCCGCGGGCCCCGGUCGGCGAACAGCUCUGCAAGGACCGCCGCAGGCCACAAGUGCACGGGGUGCCAGGAGCUCCCCGUCCCCGGCCCCCAGCCCGGGCUGAAACAGCAACGGUUUGCCCGGGCCCUCCCCCUUCCCUCUUCCCCAGCAAAUCUACCCAGACCGGAAGCGCGACACGCGCUUAGACCCGAGCCUUCUCUCAGCCUCGGGACCAGGUGCUUGUUGGCUACGUCGAAAAGGCAAAAGUAAAGAAAGCGAAGGCGAAGGGCAGCUCAAUGGGAACGAUUCAGGGGGUCUUCCCGGCUCCCAGCACCCCCAAGAAGAUGGCUGCCGGUAAAUCUCGCGAGAAUUGAUGAAGUCUCGCGGUGGCUCCCGGAGCCUGCUGGGAGAGACGUAAGGUCGGCGGAGAAUGCGCGGGUCGAGUGCUGUAGUUCGAUUUUUGCGUGUGUGCGUUGCUUGCGGCCUUUGUGCCUUUUUAUUCUUUGCUUACCUUUAUGAUAUAAAGACCUUAUUUCUUACAAGGAGGAAAAGACCGCUGACUUCAGAAACAGCGGGAACCCCAGCUCGUCCCCGGUAAGACGGCCGUGGCCUGUCAGCUGGAACGGUCCUGCCGGAUGGAUCGCUCUUUGAGAGCGUACACUCCCGCGUGCGCGACACCAGGCGGCCCGUAGGUUCCAGGUGCCGAGCACACUACCUCCUCAGUUUACCUAAGUGCCCUACCAGUAUCAUAUUCUGUGUAUGCUGUGAUGUGAACGAGGUUUGUAAACACAGGCUGGUCUAAUGGAGCCCAAUGAGACCGCCAGAGGAUUAGUGUCUUGUCCAACAGUACUUGACUUGCUGGUAGAGCCCUAAUGACUGAGGGCUGCCCACAAGGGAAAGGUGAGAGAACCUUCACGUCUCUCAGGUAGUUUCCAGCCUGCACUUUCCCCCAGCUAAAGAUAAGUUUUGUUAUUUUUAAAAUUCUCUUUAUUUAGAGCAAAUUCAGCCCUAUCUCAGAUCGGGAAAUUAUAUAGUAUCAAAAGAGAGAGUCUUCAUAUUAGCAACCCAAAUAAAUAAACUAUUUUCCUGGGUGAUCAAAUAAGUUUGAUUCCUGCUUGAGUUCUAUUUAGAUACUAGGUGGAAUUUUACAAAGGGUCUACGUUCCAUGAACUGUAAUGGAAUGAAAAUAUUCACAAUCUAAAGACAUUUUCAGUAAGUAGAUCAAUAAAAGCUCUUUAUGAGAGACACCGAUAGGCUAAAUUGUUCUUAGGAACUCUUGAGUUUAUAAUUUGCUAGAGUGAAGUGUCUUUAAGGAUUAGGUGGAAAGAUUAUGAACUACAAAGCAAGACAUUUGUUUUAAAAUACAGCAUAUAGAGUAGAAUACAAAUUAGAAUCCAGCUACUGAAUAACCAGGGUGUUGAUUAAAGUGAUUUAGCUGAGUGAAAUAAACCAGACAUGAAAGGACAAAUAUUAUGAUUCCACUUACAUUAAGUACCUAGAGUAGUCAAAACUCCUAGAGACAGAAGGUGGAAUGGUAGCAAGAGCAGGGGUGGAGAGGGUGCCCAGGAGAAGGGGAAAUGAGGAGUUAUAUUUCAGUGGAUAAUAGAGUUUCAGUUUAGGAUGAUUUAGAUUCUGGAGAUGAGUGGUGUUGUGUGGGUUGCACAAUAUGAAUGUACUUAAUGCAGUGGACCAUAUACUUAAUGAAAACGGUAGGUUUUAUAUGUAUUUUACAAUAAAAAUUGUUUAUAAAUUUAAUACUGCCGAAAGUUAAAAUUAUAUUUGUUUAGUCUGUUUGUUGUAGCCUUGCCACAGGCUGACGCCACCAAUAUUUUCAACCUUAUCACCAGCUACUCCAUUACUCUGGCUCUCCACUUCAGCCUUCCAAAGCUUCUAUCAAAUACUGUAUACCCCAGAUAAACUGAUUUGCUCACCCUCCCUUUCUCCAAACAUUUGUUCACUUUAUUUUCCACAGAGAACGCUUCUACUUCUUUCCCUGACUGCUCAAACUUUGCCCAUCCAUCUCUCAUACCACUGUCACUGUCUUAUUUAAAGUCUUUUAUUCUUCCUAAAUAAUAGCAAAAGCCUUUUAAUAUCUUUGCCUUUUAUGCUGACCUCCAUCUCAGUUCAUCUUCAGUUGCCCUCAUCAUCAUUGCCUUUAAUAGCAGUAAUUCUAAAAUUUUGAUCUAAUCAUGUCACUUUCUUGCUUAAAAUCUUCAACUUCCACAUUAUCUUUAGAAUAAAACACAUUAUUUAACAUCCUAUAAAGGGACUUUCAUAAAUCAGACACCUUCCUUUUUGCCUAGAAACUCCUUUCAGUCUUUGCUCCAGCCAUCCUAAACUAUUUUGAGUUCCUUAAAAUAAGUUGUUCCAUGAAAAGGCCCUUUAUGCAAAGUGCCCCCCAAACAUCAAAGGAGAAAUCAAAUGAACAAAGCAGACAAAUCCAGUUUGGUCAGUAAAGAGUGUUUUGUUGGGGGUAACUUACAGACAGAAGCAUGGUCUUCAGUGGCAGCAAGACAGGUAGAUGUCUGCCCUUUUACUCCCCAGACCAGUACUUACAUGCCAUAAGGAAAGGGUGUACGUACUCUAUAGAGACAUUUAAAGGCAACCCUCCAGACAGGCAAGAAUGCUAUAUGCAUCAUAGCCUGUAAUUUGUGUGAUAACAUCAGGGUUGCUUUGUUGUUAAACUAAGGACAGUAAAUAAAGUAAUAAUCACAGGGCUGGGGUUAAUCAGAAGGCAACAUGACAAAUUAGCAUUCAAGAGGGAGUAAACGUUUGUCUCCACAGAAGUGUGUCCUCUCACUAAAUUGAGCCAUUGCAAAAUGUGUUUCUCUACCUUUCAUUUGAUAGAUUCCUACUUAAGCGUCAAAAUGCAGUGCAUACAGCAUCGCCUUUGGAAAUCCAUCUUUGACCUCCCUUCUGUAAAGCGAGAGUCCCUCUGAGAUUUUCUGACAUCAGCCUGUGAUUGCUUCUUUUAUAGCACUCAUAGCUUUAUUUUUGCAAGUAUGUGAUUAUCUGUUCUUUAGUGGAUUAUAGCUUUGAAUCCCCCGCUUCAAGAACAGCUGCUAAUAUAUACAGCCAAUCCUUAUUCACGGUGGUUCUGUAAAAAAGCCACAAAUGCUGAAUUAGUGAAUAUGGAACCAUUGCUCCUAGGAGAAAUGCAGGAUUAGGUUCCUUCAAGCCUCUUAUUAAAUGUUUGUCAACCAGCCCAUAAAUACCUUGUUUUAUGUGUGUUUCUUUUUAAAGGCACCUUAUGUAGGAAAAAAAAAAAUUUUUAAGGCACCUUAUUUAAUAUAGUUGAUUCAUUAACAUUGAACUCACAGCCAGUGGCACUAUAACUCAUGCUUACCUGGCGUAUGUAUUUUCUCUUUAAAAAGAAAGAAGAGCCUUCUGGCACUUAGGGACCCAGAUAGCCUCAUCACUACACUUGGGGGGCAUUUUAAACAGUGAAAUCACAAAAAGGUCAAAAAUGCAACAAAUGUGGCCUUAAAUAGACCAUGAAAAGGACACUUGUUUCCAGUGUGAGAGCUAAAACAGGAAGGCAGAGCAUCCCCUUGUUUCACCAAAGCUGGGAACAUGUGCAUCAGGUGACUCAAAUUUUUUUGCCUCUGUUCAUGUCGACAGAUGACUGCAAAAGCAUUCCAAGUAUUGAUUUGGGCAUUGCAAAUAAAUUUUAGCAAGUAGGCAAACUCACAAAUACAGAAUCUGUAAGUAAUAAGGAUUAACUAUAUUUUUUGAAUGACCAAAGGAAGCCGUACCACUUCCAUGAAACCUUUCCUGGCCACUGUGGCUGAUAGCAGUAUCUUCCUCCUCUAAAUUUAUGGUACAGUGCUUAUUAUCACUUCACAGUUAGUCAUUUUUGCUUCCUAGAAUGCUUCUCUUCCUUAACCAUUAACAUUUAUCCUUCAUUUAUCCCUGCUUCAUCUUCUUUGGCCCUGCCUUCAAAGGCGACAAUUAGCUGAUGUAAUCAUCAAUUCUACUAAGAGAAGACUAAACAGCUGCUGUGGACUACUUUCUCUAUUCAGUAACAUGUACAUUUUGGAAUGUCCAGUAUCAGGUUGCCUGCUUAACGUUUUCCAAUACACCAUGUUCUUUCAAGGCCAUGUGACUUUAUUAGCACUGUUCCUUUUGCCAGAAUGAUUUUCCUUAUUGCUCAAAUGUCAGUACCUCAAUGAUACCCUGGACAAAGGUCUAGCUCCCUACCUGUAGAACAGGAGUUAAAACAUUUACUGGGAAGAGAUUGUGAGGACAGAUAAAAAUAAAACAUUUUAUUUAGUUUUCUCAUCUUUCUCGGCCUUGUGAGCUCUUUUAAGGACUGGACUCAAGUUUAUUCCUCUUUCUACGUCCUGCACUUAACUCAGUGUCUGAAACUCAAAAAAUGUUUAUUGAAGACACAUGCUUCGUUUUAAAUAGGAAGGAAGCAGAGGCAGGAGAAAAUAUUUUAGAUAGGCAAGAGAAUGAUAUGCCCUCUAACAGAUCUGUAUUUCUUUAUGGUUUAUUACCAUAAGUUGCCUUCAUCUUUUAGCUGCACCAAUCCCAGGAAUAUUCUCUAUAGUGUGCUGAACUCCUCCUCAGGUUUUUCCAGCUCUCUCCUCUAGUUGAAUACAGUCUUACUACUCUCAAUAGUGCUUUUGAAGUCUUGUUUAAAAACAGUCAGCAUUUCCGGAUCAAAAAGAGAUUCUGUAUUUUCUUCUAUUUCUUUUGCAGUCCAUUACUCUACUUAGAAUCACACUUAAGUAUUUAUUCUCUCUGUAAUACAUCCCUGUUUGUGGUGUAAAGUGAGGAUCUAGGCCAUUUUUUUUUUCUAUAAGUCUACUCACUCAGUUUAUUCUUUCCUGUUGAUUUUUUUCUUUUUUUUUUUUUUUUUUUCCUGGGACAGAGUCUGACACCAUCUCCAAUGCUGGAGUGCAGUGGCGCAAUCUUGGCUCACUGCAACCUCUGCCUCCCAGGUUCAAGCAGUUCUACCUCAGCCUCCCAAGUAGCUGGGACUAUAGGUGUGCACCACCAUGCCCAUCUAAUUAGAGAGGGCGUUUCACCAUGUUGGCCAUGCUAUUCUUGAACUCCUGGCCUCAAGUGAUCGGCCCGCCUCGGCCUCCUAAAGUGUUGGGAUUACAGGCGUGAGCCACCGUGCCUAGCUUCCUUCCUGUUUGAUUUUUGAUGCCACUUAUAUCUUUCUGUUUUCAUUUCAUUUGUGUUCUGCUUCUGACCUAUUUUUCAAUUGGUCAGCUUGUCUGUGACUACUCCAGUACUAUGUUGCUUUUAUUUACUAUUGUAUUAUAGAAUAUCUUAAUAUAUAAUAAGGCAAAUCCCUCUUCUUUGCUCUUUUUCAAAUUUAGCUUGGCU